UACGGGAGGCAGCAGUGGGGGAUAUUGCACAAUGGGGGGAACCCUGAUGCAGCGACGCCGCGCUGAGAUGAAGAAGUUAUUCGCUAAUGUAAAGCUCUAUCAGCNGGGAAGAAGCAGACGGUACCUGACUAAGAAGCACCGGCUAAAUACGUGCCAGCAGCCGCGGUAAU
rnacentral:rRNA from 1 species